AUUGAACGCUGGCGGCAGGCCUAACACAUGCAAGUCGAACGGAGUGGCGGACGGGUGAGUAAUGUCUGGGAAACUGCCUGAUGGAGGGGGAUAACUACUGGAAACGGUAGCUAAUACCGCAUACUAUCAGAUGAGCCUAGGUCGGAUUAGCUAGUUGGUGGGGUAAAGGCCUACCAAGGCGACGAUCCCUAACUGGUCUGAGAGGAUGAUCAGUCACACGGGAACUGAGACACGGUCCAGACUCCUACGGGAGGCAGCAGUGGGGAAUAUUGGACAAUGGGCGAAAGCCUGAUCCAGCCAUGCCGCGUGUGUGAAGAAGGUCUUCGGAUUGUAAAGCACUUUAAGCUGGGAGGCGUUACCCACAGAAUAAGCACCGGCUAACUCCGUGCCAGCAGCCGCGGUAAUAC
rnacentral:rRNA from 1 species